AAAUAAGAAGCAAUUUGCAUUUAAUUUCGACUUAAAAGAAUGGGUUGUAUACCCCUUAUUUA
rnacentral:tRNA from 1 species